GGAUCCAUACUUUGAUUAUGGCUCAGGAUGAACGCUAGCUACAGGCUUAACACAUGCAAGUCGAGGGGCAGCGGGAUUGAAGCUUGCUUCAAUUGCCGGCGACCGGCGCACGGGUGAGUAACGCGUAUCCAACCUUCCGUACACUCAGGGAUAGCCUUUCGAAAGAAAGAUUAAUACCUGAUGGUAUGAUGAGAUUGCAUGGUAUCAUCAUUAAAGAUUUAUCGGUGUACGAUGGGGAUGCGUUCCAUUAGGUAGUAGGCGGGGUAACGGCCCACCUAGCCAACGAUGGAUAGGGGUUCUGAGAGGAAGGUCCCCCACAUUGGAACUGAGACACGGUCCAAACUCCUACGGGAGGCAGCAGUGAGGAAUAUUGGUCAAUGGACGAGAGUCUGAACCAGCCAAGUAGCGUGAAGGAUGAAGGUCCUACGGAUUGUAAACUUCUUUUAUAAGGGAAUAAACCCUCCCACGUGUGGGAGCUUGUAUGUACCUUAUGAAUAAGCAUCGGCUAACUCCGUGCCAGCAGCCGCGGUAAUACGGAGGAUGCGAGCGUUAUCCGGAUUUAUUGGGUUUAAAGGGAGCGCAGACGGGUCGUUAAGUCAGCUGUGAAAGUUUGGGGCUCAACCUUAAAAUUGCAGUUGAUACUGGCGUCCUUGAGUGCGGUUGAGGUGUGCGGAAUUCGUGGUGUAGCGGUGAAAUGCUUAGAUAUCACGAAGAACUCCGAUUGCGAAGGCAGCACACUAAUCCGUAACUGACGUUCAUGCUCGAAAGUGUGGGUAUCAAACAGGAUUAGAUACCCUGGUAGUCCACACGGUAAACGAUGGAUACUCGCUGUUGGCGAUAUACUGUCAGCGGCUUAGCGAAAGCGUUAAGUAUCCCACCUGGGGAGUACGCCGGCAACGG
rnacentral:rRNA from 1 species